CUCGAAUUUGUUCAACUGGGACCACUGGCGACAGGGCAGGUCAAAACCAGGUCAUGAAGAUAGGAUGAACAUAAGCCCCAUGAGUUCAGUUCCAUAGCCAUUUUUCAGAGUAAAUCUUCAUUUUCAAGCUACACUAUGACCAGCUUUAAUAAUGUUGGAAUAUAAUGCUACUUCUCAGAAGUCAGAAACUGAACCAUCCAAGAACCCAAAAUAUGAGAGAGACACAAAACAGCUGCUCCCUAAAACAGAGAGAGGCACCACUCACCCUAGGCUUUCUGCAGACUGACUACUUAGGACAUUUCACAUGCUUCCCUGCAAGCAGGACCAGGAAACCUCUUAGAAUUUCAAAAGUUACAGCUUGUAACAGUACAACACAACACUAUCCUCACCCACUUUUGUGUCCAUUCCCCUGUGAAGAAAAAAUCCAUUUUGAAUAAAUGUGAGCUGUACAUUAUCCUAAAAAUCAACAAGCUUGACCUGUGGUGACCAUGAAGAGAUGGGCAUUCUAGAGCCAACGACUCUCUGCACUAAGGACCCUUCCACUCAGCCUAGUAGCUCAGCCUUGCACAGAACAUUAAACAUGAUGCUGCGCAUGAUUGUGCUCAGAAGGCUACAGACAGCUGUACUGAUGAAAAAUCAGAGGCAUAAUACUGACACAUGCACCAUGGCACAUACUCAAGAAUGGAUUCCUCUGUCUCUUCAAUACUAAAUACUAUGAAGCUUAAUGCUUCUCCCUGGGAAACAAAGAUCAUCAAUUGCUAGCUGA